rnacentral:rRNA from 1 species
AUUGAACGCUGGCGGCAUGCUUUACACAUGCAAGUCGAACGGUAACAGGCCGCAAGGUGCUGACGAGUGGCGAACGGGUGAGUAAUGCAUCGGAACGUGCCCAGUCGUGGGGGAUAACGCAGCGAAAGCUGUGCUAAUACCGCAUACGAUCUAUGGAUGAAAGCGGGGGACCGUAAGGCCUCGCGCGAUUGGAGCGGCCGAUGUCAGAUUAGGUAGUUGGUGGGGUAAAGGCGCACCAAGCCAACGAUCUGUAGCUGGUCUGAGAGGACGACCAGCCCCACUGGGACUGAGACACGGCCCAGACUCCGACGGGAGGCAGCAGUGGGGAAUUUUGGACAAUGGGCGCAAGCCUGAUCCAGCAAUGCCGCGUGCAGGAAGAAGGCCUUCGGGUUGUAAACUGCUUUUGUACGGAAUGAAACGGCGAGCUCUAAUACAGUUUGCUAAUGACGGUACCGUAAGAAUAAGCACCGGCUAACUACGUGCCAGCCGCCGCCGUAA